GGGGGAGGAGCCUAGGCUUCCCGCUCUGGUAACUAAGGCGUGAAGCGAAGCUCGGGAGAAGGGCCACGCCCCGGCCCCAUCUCAUCCUAUCUUGAAUCUGAAAACAGCCUUGAACAAGGCAGACAAUGUGGAUGGUAUUUACCCCAGAGCAGGGCUCCAGCCUGGACUUCUGUGUCUUCUUCUGGAAGGGACAAACUGGCUGCUUUUCCAUGGACACCAUUUGUACUUGAAGGAAAGACUAACGGACUCUGGAAGUUAUUGGCCAUGCCAUAAAGACCAUCUAUCCAUCCCUGGAAAGUUGCACUGCUGUGGACUCCAUGUUUGUGUCCCCCCAGAAUUCAUAUGUUUGAACACCAACCCCCAUUGUGAUUUGGAGCUGGGGGGCCUUUGGAGGGAAUUAACUCAUGAGAAUGGAGUCCAGGAAUGGGGUUGAUGCCCUUACGAAAAGAGACACUAGAGAGCUUUUUCCCCCUCUCUACCCUGUGAGGACAUAGAAAGAAGGUGGCCAUCUGCAAACCACAGGGUAUUGUCACUAGAUACGGGAUAUGUCAGUGCCUUGAUUUUGGACUUCCCAGCCUCCAGAACUAGGAGAAAUAAAUGCUUGCGGUUUAAACCACCCAAUCCAUGGUAUUUUUCUGUAGCAGCCCAGACUGACCAAAGCACCCACCUAGUGAAGACUUAAGGUCCCCUGACAACAGCUGUGAGGACACUGAUGUGUCCUGCCAAGAGCCAUGACAAUGAGCCAUCUUGGAAUCAGGCUAUCCAGCCACAGCUGAGCCUUCAGAUGGUCACAAUCCUGGUCAACAUCUUGACUGCAAAUUUAUGAAAAACUCUGAGCCGAAUGACUCAGCUAAGUUGCUUCCUGUGUCCUCGCCUACAAAAUAUAUAGAAUAAUCGCUGUCUGUGUUUAAGUCACUAAAUUUAAGGUCAUUCAUUAGAUAGCAAUACGAGUACUGUACCCAGCCGCAGCCUGUGACAUUGGCCUCUGAUUAAAGGCGGUCAGAUGAGUUUUCACAAUGGCAGAGCUGCAAGUUGGCUGAAGCGUGUGGCUGGCUGUGUAGGGAUCGCACACCCUCUGUAACACGUGACUUUCUUACCAUCAUUUGCCUCCGGUGUUCCUGAAUCUAUAUGUUUUCAAGAGAAGCAGGACACCUAGAUACCUAUAUGAAAUUUAUUACAAGUGUUGGCAAUCAUUACUUUUUUAUUUUAUGUCAGAGAAGCGUGAUCAGCCUGUGUUUCUGAUUUAUGAAAGGUACAAGGUGUGCAUUUACCUACGGGCUCCUGUCGAGCUAGCAGCACUGGCCUGCCUGUUUGUGCCUCCUGAGCUUUGCUCAUUCUGUGCCCUCUGAUGUUAAUAGCAGCUCUGUGAGCACCUAAUGUAUUUCUUUAAAUGUUUGUUUAUUUUUGAGAGUGAGAGAGAGAGCCCCAGCAGGGGAGGGGCAGAGGGAGAGGGAGAGAGAAAAUUCCAAGCAGGCUCCAUGCUGUCAGCACAAAGCCCAACUUGGGGCUUGAUCCCACGAACCGUGAGAUCAUGACUUGAGCUGAAAUCAAGAGUCAGAUGCUUAACUGACUAAGCCACUCAGAUGCCCCUAAUGUAUUUUUAAAAGUCAUGUUAAGAGUCACUGCCAAGCCCUGUAUCUCUGGCCCAAAGACAGAGCCCCUGUUCUCUCUGAAGUUCUCUGCCUGAUGGCUGGCACAGGUAACUCAUUACUAACCUCUGCAUUAUUACCCUUGUGGAUGCACAUUCCGUCGGGAAACAUUUUGAGCUCACACCUUCAGUAUCUGUGCUUAUUUUUUUAAUUUUAUUUCUUAAUGGUGUAGACCCUUUCCCUCUCACUAUAAAGGUAAUACCAUUUUAUGUCAGUUAAUACAUUAUUAUCCCAUAAUACCCAUUGCUAUUUAGAAUACUUAGCAUAAAAUUGUUUCAUUUCAAAUGGAUAGUGACUUUGAUGCAGUGAUUUGAAUGUUUUAUUUUAAAUUUAGUUUAUCCCAGUAUUUGGCUUUGAUAGUUCUCGUAAAUAAGAAAGCUCACCUCACAGCAGGAACCGUACAGAAACGUAUUUAGCUUAUUCAGCAAUCUGCAUCAAUAUCCCACCUGGACUGCAGGAUUGCAAUUAGUCCUGA